GGCAGGAGCAAGGAAGCAGGCAGAGGUGGGCAGUCUCUGUGACAACGUGGCAUGCCCUUCCCUCCACUUUCUAUCACAGUUAACUUGAUGCAUGUCUAUGUCCCCAUUAGGCUGUUGGCUCUGGAGCUCAAGACUCUGAUGUGAAUUAUCUUUUAUCAGCUCCACAUUGCCAAGACGAGUUUCCUUCCCAUUUCCCAUUCACUCAUCACGUAGUCAGCCAGCAAUGUUUACGUGAACCCUGCUAUGGGCUAGGGAUGCUCAUUGAAUGAUGAUGAUGAGUAUAACAGUAAUAAUAAUAAUAAAAGGAAGAAGGAUAAGGAGGAAGAGGACGUGGGGGAGAAAGAGGAAGGAGAGAAGAAUAGCCAGCCUUCGUCGCGCACCUGCUUUAUGCCAACCAUUUGGCACACAUUUUUGCAGUAAUCCUCCUCGAACUCUGUGAUGUGCAUCUUAUUUUCUUCAUGUUACAGGUGAGGACACUGAGGGUCAGAGAAGCCAAGUUUCUACAAUAAAUAGCAUCUGACCUGAGAUUUGAAGCCAGGUGUGUCACACCUCUUCACCGCCAGACUCCAGAGACAGCAAUAAGUAGAGCUGUGGUAGUGUGUGAAAAGCACAGUGCCCAGUACCCAAAUCAAAGUGCACCCCAGCUGAUUGAGUUAAGCCUGGCCGGAACAAGGAUUCCCAGUUCCACGAGGAAGCUUAUGUAACUUCCUGGGAGGUCUCCUCCCCACCAAUGCAUGUUCUGCCGACUCAACUGUACACCAAUCAGAAAUGGUUACACUCCGUCCCUCUGAACUAGUGGUUCAUAAUCUCAGAGGAAAACAGGAGGAGGAAAAGCACCCAAGCCUCGGCUGAACUCAAGAUGGGAAGAAAGUUAUCAUAGAGCUUCGCUCCAGCUGUUUGGCACCAGGAACUGCUGCCUCUGCUGGACGUGAGAGAGUGUGAGAAAAGCUGUGUUUAUAUAACUGAGAACCCCGAGAUCGAAAGUGGUCAGCGUGUGUUCUUGGAGAUUCCAGUGGCUCACCAGCUUGGACCAACUGUGGCAUUCAGACGGUCAGGCAGAAAUGCAUCGCUGGAGAGAACCCAACAGACCAACCCAGCCAAAGCUGUAGCCUCUGAAGGUCAUUUGGGCAACUUUAAGAUUUGCCCUGGCUUUUCAUGUGACGGAUUUCCUAUUUGCAGACAGCAUCUUUAUCAACGACCCAACUCGGAGUCUGAGUCACACACCAGCGGGAUUGGCAUCUCCCUAGAGCUUGUAGGAAGCAUAGACCCUCCCAUUGCCUGCACUGGUCAGAAUUGUCCAGAGAGACAGAACCAACAUGUACAUAUAUAAGGUGUCUAUAUCCUGUGGAUACAAGAUAUCUCUAGACGCUUACAUAUGUAUCUAUCUAUGUAUCUCACGCAUACAUGUUUAUAUGGAUGACAAGCUGAAAUAAUAACAGGGUAUUUUCUGUUAAAUAACAUAUUAUUAACAUUAGUUUGCUUGUUUCUUAAAUAUUAUUGAAAUUAUAAUCCAAAUUAAAAUAUAUUAUUAAAAUUAAUAUACAUGUUAUACAUACAUAUAUAGAGACACACACACACAGAUUUUAAGGCAUUGGAUCACACAGUUGUAGGUGGCAAGUCCGAAAUCUGCAGGGCAGGUUGCAGCCUGGAGACCCAAGGAAGGGCUGCUGUUGCGGCCUUGAGUCCCAGGGCCUCUGGAGGCAGAAUUCCUUAUUCCUCAGGGGACCUAAGUCUUUUCUCUUAAGGCCUUCAACUGAUUGGAUAAGGCCCACCACAUUAUGGAGGGUAAUCUGCUUUACUCAGAGUCUACUGAUUUCAAUGUUUAGUCCCAUCUAUCAAAUACCUUCCCAGUGACAUCCAGUCUGGUGUUUCACCAAACAACUGGGUACCACGGUGUACCCAAAUUGACAUGUAAAAUUAACCAUCCCACCUCCCACCCCAACUCUGAAUCAGCAUCUGCAUUUUAACAAGAUGCCUGGGAGAGGGGUAAGCACAGGACAGUCAGAGGCACUGCCUUUGAGCUUUAUCCUGGACAUCUCUGUAAGCCCCUCUGGAUGUGUCGGACCCCCUUCCAGGCCCCCAGCCACCUCCACCAUGCCCAGACUCAGAGCCCACAGUGUGGGGAAGGAGGCAGUGGGGUGCUCAAUUGACCACCGCAAGAUAUGAGGUCCAAGGCGCUCUGAGGUGACUCGAGAGAAAAUGAAGGCCCAGGAGCGUUAUUGUUUUCUUGUGAGCUCUCAAAGAAUUCCCAUGGGAAGAUCAGGGCCACAGAGGCAAGGGCCACGUCUGUGUCAUUUUCCUCUUUAGCCCCCACCCCUGGCACAGGAGAAGCAUCCAAUAAACAGUAUUGAAUAAAUCCA
rnacentral:lncRNA from 1 species